rnacentral:rRNA from 1 species
CCCUUAGAUGUUCUGGGCCGCACGCGCGCUACACUGAUGCAUUCAACGAGCCUAUCCUUGACCGACAGGUCCGGGUAAUCUUUGAAUCUGCAUCGUGACGGGGAUAGAUUAUUGCAAUUAUUAAUCUUCAACGAGGAAUGCCUAGUAGGCGCAAGUCAUCAGCUUGCGUCGAUUACGUCCCUGCCCUUUGUACACACCGCCCGUCGCUCCUACCGAUUGGGUGUGCUGGGGAAAUGUUCGGAUCGGCCGUUUGUCGCGGUUUCCGCGUCAUGUGGCUGAGAAGUUCAUUAAACCCUCCCACCUAGAGGAAGGAGAAGUCGUAACA